GUCGAGAAUAAUUCACAAUGGACGAAAGUCUGAUGGUGCAACGCCGCGUGGAGGAUGACGGUCUUCGGAUUGUAAACUCCUGUCAUCCGGGAGUAAGACCUGGCUGUGAAUAGCAGACAGGGUUGAUAGUACCGGAAGAGGAAGGGACGGCUAACUUCGUGCCAGCAGCCGCGGUAAUACGAAGGUCCCGAGCGUUGUUCGGAAUCACUGGGCGUAAAGGGAGCGUAGGCGGCGUGGUAAGUCAGAUGUGAAAUCCCGGGGCUCAACCCCGGAACUGCAUCCGAUACUGCCGUGCUAGAGGAUUGGAGAGGUAGCUGGAAUUCUUGGUGUAGCAGUGAAAUGCGUGGAGAUCAAGAGGAACACUCGUGGCGAAAGCGAGCUACUGGACAAUAUCUGACGCUGAGGCUCGAAGGCCAGGGGAGCGAACGGGAUUAGAAACCCGUGUAGUCC
rnacentral:rRNA from 1 species